rnacentral:tRNA from 1 species
GAGUGUCUAGUUUAAUUUUUUUAAAAACGUUAGAUUGUCAAGCUAGAGUUACUUUGACAUAGUGGCCCUCU